rnacentral:lncRNA from 1 species
UUUCUUAUCUUAAAUGUACUCCAUUGAUCGAUUCAUAUAAAGUGAUGCUCUUCUUAUAAAUAAUAAUAAAGUGAGGUGCUUAAACAAAAUAAAUAAAAGCUGAAAUACUUGAAACAGAAAUUUAACAAAAAUAGAGGUACUAAAUAACGUCACAUCAUUGCUUCAAAUUUCAAACCAUAAUUAAAUUGUGCUCAAUGCUCAUAGAGGCACCGAAAACUCUUAAGAUUUUUCAAACUGACGAAUCUCACUUUACAUGCGUUUUAUUCGUACAGUGUUUAUGAGGUAGAGAAUUCAAAUCUUCAUUGUGUUGCCGAUGUCGAUAACAAAUCGGUAUCUGACAUCUGUUUUCGAAAGCCGCUCCAUGGCUGUGUUCACAUAAUCCAUCGAGAUAACCUCAAUGUCUGCCGUGAUGUUGUUCUUGGCAGCAAAAUCAAUCAUCUCUUGUGUUUCCUUCAUUCCUCCAAUGCAACUCCCACCCACUAUUUUUCGUCCUGCCAAGCCAAUAACAUGGAAUUCGUCGCUGUCAGCUCAAUACCAAAAAAAAUUUAGAACACAUACUGAGAUGCAUGCAUAUAUAUAUAUAUAUACAUACCCAUGAUCAGAGGAAACACUGGUAGCUCAAGUGGCUUUUCAGGCGCACCAACCAAGACCAGCUUUCCUUGAGUCUUCAAUAGACUAAUCAAAGGCAAGAUAGGAUGCAUGGCCGACACCGUGUCAAUUACACCAUCCAUUGUGCCCAUUGCAGCCUGAAUAACAAACAAUAUUAUAUUAUGUUUGAUGUUUAAUUAGUUUUACAGAUACAAGGAAUUAAUGUGCUCUGAACCAUGUUUAUAUACCUGCAUCUCAUCCUGGUCACGACUAACUAGAAACGAGUCAGCACCAAGAUGCUCAAGGGCUUCUUGUUUCUUCUUGGGAGAGGUGCUAAUAACUGUAACCUUGACCCCCAUGGCCUUCGCAAACUUUACAGCUACAUGACCUAGCCCGCCGAGCCCAACCACGCCCACAUGCAUACCCGGUUUGUCAAGAUUAAAAAACCUCAAGGGGCUGUAAACUGUAAUCCCAGCACAUAGGAGAGGUGCAGCGGCAUCUAGAGGUAGGUUGUCUGGAAUACGAACUACGAAGUGCUCAUCCGUGACCAUGCUGUCUGAGUAGCCUCCGUACGUGGUGGUUCCAUCGUGGUAUUUGGUACUGUAGGUGAGUAUCAUUUUUGGGCAAUAAUUCUCGAGAUCGUUGUUGCAACUACCGCAAGAGUGGCAUGAUCCAACCAUGCACCCCACCCCCACUUUGUCUCCAACUUUGAACUUCUCAACUUUGCUUCCUACCUCUGUCACUUCCCCAACAAUCUCAUGCCUGCAUUGCCAAUUUAAUUAAUUAACCCUCAGAUGCAAUGCAUGUAUAAAUUUAUUCCAGUCAAAGUUCCUCUAAACAUUUUCCCUGGACUGCCAAUUGCCAUUCAUGAUGUUUAUGUGCAAAAAAAUGAGAAAUAACUAUAUACGGUCAUAGAUUUUUCUGACUGUGUGUACGUACCCGGGAACUAGAGGGUACGUGGAAGUACCCCACUCAUUCUUGGCCAUAUGAAGGUCUGAGUGACAUAUUCCACAAAACAGCACCUUGAAUCUCACAUCCUUCUCUCCUGUAGACCUGUUGCAAGAGGUGUUUCUUGCUUAGCUUAGCAUAAACCGCAAGUGAAAAUGAGAGAUAUUCAUAGGUAAAAAAUCAAUCAGAUCGCCCUUCACCAACCAUAAUAUUACUAACAAUGUAAAGCUAUAAACAUGUGAUUCAAUAAACUUAUUUCACAUAUUAAAAAUAAAAGACUGCCAUAUAUCUGAUCUAGCCCAUCUUGCAGCUGCGCUGAAUGCUUGUUGGUGUUUAGAAAAACAAGAAGAAAAUGGAUCUAAAUAAACCGAGCUAGACGAAAAGAAAAAUAAAAUCCCAUAAUUAAAUAAAGCAGCGACAAGAUGGAGGAGAGGGAAUAACCUCCUGGAGAAUUUGAAAGGAGAGAGGACCCCGGAUUGGUCUCUGGCUGCCCAUCCAAAAGCCUUGGUAGGAUGUUCUUCCUCGUAAGAUUUUUCUGCCAUUUCCACCCUCUUUUUUGCUUUAUUUGGUACUGCCGAGAGAGCGUGCACGGUGCACCUAUUUAUCAUGGCGGGAUGACAUACUGGGUGAGCUAAGCACCUUUAGUCGCUCAUCCGUGAGCUAAUCAAUUACCUUGAGAGAAAAGCCAUCUGUCCAUGAGAAUUAACAAGUGAAUUAACAAGUAUUCUGUCGCUUACUCUCAACUCUAUUUCCUUGCGUGAAUUAACAAGUGAAAAAAAAAACAUGUGAAUUUCCGGCCUCCAAACCAAUGGUUGUGUGCCUCCCCAUAAAAUAAUAUAUUGGAAAAGUUAAUGUGAUUUUUAAUGCACGAACUUUUAUGAUUUCCUUAGAUGAUGCUUAAAUUUUAUUUGAAUAGAUUUCCAAAUUAAAAAAUAAAUAAAAUAUGGAUGUCCCUCCAUUUGUGUCAACACAUCUUUUGUCGUGUGAUAUGGCAUGGUGAUGUGUCAACAAUUGUUUAAGACACAUUAACUUUAAAACUCUAAAUUAAUUUUUAAAAUAGUGUAAAAUGUACCAGAGUUAAUGAUAUGUUUCAUUAUAUUAUGUUUUUUAAUUGAAAAGUGUGAAAAAAUAUGUUAAUAUUUAUAAAAUAACAUAUCAUAUGUAAAAGUCCUUUAAUUAGAAAAAUAAAAUGAUAAAUGAGCUCACUUUCAAACGGAUGGAAGGUGCAGGAGAUCAAUUCCAACUUUUUUUAGUACUCGAGGGAUGGGUUUUGUAAUGAUUUAAAAGUUCAAAAAUGUUUGUAGUAAUCUGGACCAGUGUGUAACGGUAGAAAUCAAAAUUUUCUAUCCCUCAAAUUUCAUGAUAGUUAUUUUUAUUUUAUUUUUAUAAUUAAAAUAAAUAAUAUAAAAAUUAAAUAAGUUUUUAUAUAUUUUUUUAUCAAUAAAACACAUGCGAUGAAAUUUUCAAGAUAUUUUGUCAUGUGACAUUAUAAAAGAACCUGAAAAUCCUUUAUAAAUAGAGUGACUCAAUCUAGAAAAAAAGAAAGAAUUUUUAAAGAUACAAAAUUUUCUUUUAAGACAAGCAUUUCAAGUAAGGAAGCUUUUUGUCAAAAGCUCUAAAGCUUUAUUUAUCUACGCUUGAAGUCUACAAAAAACAAAGCUUUAUUGGACCAAAACAUAGACGACACCCCAUAAAAGUUUUCAACAACAUUUUAAAAAUAAAUUAAGAGUACUCUUUAAAAUAUUAAAUCAUCAAAUCUCGAUUUACAAUACACGCUCAAAUUCAUGUUACUACAAAACAUAAAUCUUGAUUUAAUUUCACAAAUAAAUCAUAUCAUCAUAUUUCUACUUCAUUUAUUUCUCAUUACCUCUCCUUUUUUAUUCUCGUCUAGUCAUCUUCUCUUCUUAUAGUCUUUUUGUGGUUUUCAAGUUAUUAGGUUUUGAUUUCAUAGGUAAGCAAGCGCCCGAGCCCUGCAAAAUAUUUUAAAGUUUUAUAUUAUUUAGUAUUUAAAUAUAGAAUAGUAUAAUAUUUUUAUUUUAAAUAUACUAUACUAUUCCAUAUAUAAUAAUUUUAAUUUUCUUUCAAGACAAACACUUCAAGUAAAGAAGCUUUCUUAAAAGCUAUCAAGACUCAUUCAUCUACGCUUGAAACAAUGGCGGAACUAGAGGGAGGUAAGCAGGCCCCGGCCCUACAAAACAUUUUAAAAUUUUAUAUUAUUUAGUAUUUAAAUAUGGAAUAGUAUAAUAUUUUUAUUUUAAAUAAAUAAAUUUUUAAUAAUAUAUCUUGUUAUAUUAAUUUGGGUCUACCCUAUUAAAUUCUACCAGCAACGCCCGUAGUUUGAAAAUCUACAAAGAACAAAGUUCUAUUAAACCAAAACAUAGACGCCACAUAAAAGUUCUUCAACAACACUUUAAAAAUAAAUCAAUAGUAGUUUUUAAAAUAUCAAAUCAUCAAAUCUCGUUUCGCAAUACACGUUUAAAUUUACAUUCUUACAAAACACAAAUCUUGAUUUAAUUUCACAAAUAAAUUAGGUUAUCAUAUUUCUACCUCUUUUAUUUCUCAUUGCCUCUCCUUUUUUAUUCUCAUCUUCUCUUCUCGUAGUCUUUUUGUGGUUUUCAAUUUAUUAGGUUUUGAAUUCAUAUAUGGUUAGAUUUUGUACAGCUUUACUUGUUUCACAGUUAGAUUUGUGUGGCCUGAUAUGAACAUUGCUGCAUUGCUUCAUCGCCUUUAAAAUAAUUCAAUCUUUUAUUUUUCUUCUUCAACUCUCUGCUCUUCAUCGCCUUUAAAAUAAUUAAAUAGAACUGUUGACCAUUAGUGGGAUAAUGAAAGGGGUCUCUCACCUCACAAUCUCUUGAGAUAUGACUUCAGAUCGGAGCAAAAACUUGGAUCUCCUGAAAAUUAAACCCAGCCAUACACACGCAAACCUUGAAGCAUUAAAAAGCUUCUUUGGCUGUAGAUUAAAAGCCCCUUAACAAAGAAAAUUGCAGUGUUAUCACGGUCUAUAUAUCAAAGCUUCAUAAACAAGAGAGUCCCAUCUGUGAGUGGGUCCCAGAUGAACAUAGCCUCCAGAUCUCAAGGACAUCACAAUAGCGUGGAGAGAGCCUUGUGCGAGAUAGAGGGAGAAAGGUGGCUGUGAUUUUCCAAGAUUUCUCCUUGCAGUGAUGAAAAGGAGAGGGAAGAAACUUUUUUAAUGUUGUUGACGUGGCUUUUUUUAAUCAUAAUUAAUAACUUGAUUCUAUUAUAUAAAAAUUAAUUAAAUUAGUUCCAAGGAAGUUGUUGUAUUAAUAACAAAUAUAUUAAAAUAUAAAUAAGUUAUUAUAAUAAUAUUUUUUAUUUGAGUGCAUAUAAGAGAGAAAUCAGCCAUAUAAUUUUAAUAAUUUGGUUAAUGAAUGACUUUUGCUACCAUCGGAGAUGUUCCAAAAAGAUAAACAUGAUAUAGUACAUAUUUGAUAGGAAACUUUUCUUAACAUGACAAAAAAAAAAAAAAAGGUGAUACCGACGUUUUUUAAAAGUAUGAAAAACAGGAAUACCUUGAUUAUUAACUUAACAAGAUUUAAUAAACAUGAUUAAUUUAAUAAUAUAAUUUUAAAAAUAAAAAUAUCAUAAAUAACAUAAAUAAAUAAAAAUAUAAUAAUUAAACGUUUUUUUAACAAGUAAAAAAAACAUGAUACCUUAAUUAUUAACUUAACAAAAUAUCAUAAGCAUGAACAUUUCGUGCUUAUAUUUGAUUUGAUUUAAAAAUUAAUUUUUUAAAAAAGAUAAAUUAAACAAAAAACGAUAAAUAAAAAGACUUGAAAUAUCUCGGGUUAUUAUCAAAAUUAGUGAAAAUUCCUAUAGAAAAAAAAUAACGGAGUCCAAUCUUUAAUUUAAUAAAUGUUAAGGGGUGAAAUUGAAAAAACACGAGGUUAAAAAGGAAAAAAAAAACCGAGCAAAAUUUCUAAACGUGGGUUAAUCUUUCAAAUUCACAACCCGUGAAAUUCUAGAUUCAUGCUCAAUGAAGAAGCUCAAUUAUCAACAAAUUAAAUCAUGGAGCAUGAAAUCGUAAAAAAGGAGAUCAAUCUAGAAAACAUUUCCAAGGAAAAAAAACAUAGCAAAUAAAAUAACGAGGAUCAAAUUGGAAGAAAAAAACCUUAAAAGGAUGAAAUCGUAAAAAAAUAAACUUUAAAAAAUAAUCUCAAAUAAAACAAAUAUCAAUUAAAAGAAUAAGAACCAAAUCUGAAAGAUAAAAAAUAUUGAAGGGGAUGAAAUUGAAAAAAAAUCUAAUUUUAUAAAUCAUCUCAAAUAAAUCAAAUAGUAAUAAAAAAAACAAGGACUAAAUAUAAAAAAAUAAUAAAGAGAAGGGCUGCUUUUAUUUUUUGCAGGGUCAACACAAAAAUCAAGGUGAGAGGAAAAGCAGUAGAAAAAAAAAGGAUUGCAUGCACUGAAUUGGAUGUCCAAUUAAAACACGCGUCAUACCUGGACGAAGAAAAAGCAAAGACGAAUCUAAUAACACCACCUCAUUACGUCUCACGCAUAGCGUAAAAGGAUUAAUGACAUUUCACACGCUUGCAUGUGUGCAAGUCAAUUUUUUUAAUAAUAUCUAUGCUAGGUCAAAUAUCAAACAACCUGUCAAAUAAUAUUAUCAUUACAAAAACCCAAUAUGAAAAAAGAUACAAAGACCCAUGGACCAAAGCUAUAAAAAAUCUAAAAUGAUGAAGCCUUUAUAUUCAAGUUAAGAAAACUUUGCUUUUAAAGAUAAUGAAGUAAUUUUACUAUGCUAAAUAAAUAUAUAAAAACCUUGUUUCCGUUAUCCAAUUCAUAAAUAACUUUAUGAUCAUUAGAAAAAGACUAUUCUACCCUCCAUGCAAGGGUUAGAAUUGGGUUAAUAAUUCUAGUAUGAAUCAAAAAUCCCUACUUCAUUAUUGUAAUAAAUUCACUCUUGGUCCACAAUAUUUGGGGUGGGCACUUAUAGUUUUUUUUUCUUCUUAAUAUUGCAUUGCAAUUUUCUUAUUUUAAAUUGAGUUGGGUCAGUCGAUGACAACCACAACAACAGAAGUUUUAAAAAGUAUUACAAGUCGUACUCUACACUGAUCUAUUUAUAUAAAUUAAGAGGUGCUUAAAGAAUACCAAAAACUGAAGAUGAUUCAAGCUCAUGAAUUCUCACAUUACAUGCAUUUUAUUCAUCCAAUAUUUAUUGGGGAGAAAAUUCAAUUUUUCAUUGUGUUGCCAAUAUCAAUGACAAAUCGAUACCUAACAUCAGUUUUCAAUAGCUGCUCAAUGGCAGUGUUCACAUAAUCCAUUGAAAUCAACUCGAUAUCUGCUGUUAUGUUGUUCUUAGCAGCAAAAUCAAUCAUCUCUUGUGUUUCCUGCAUUCCUCCACCAGCACUCCCACCCACUAUUUUUCUUCCUGUCAGGCCAAUAACAUGGUAGUUAUACUAAUAUUUAUCUGUUUGAUUACCCAUGAGAAGAUCAAUGCUGCGUUAAAUUUAGAACACAUACCACUACAACAUUAUCCAGUUUUACCGACGGAUUAAUUCCGUCGGUGACAGCAAUUAAAUCCGUCGGUGAAAACAAUACCGACGGAUUCACCGACGGAAGUGAUCCGUCGGUAAAUCCCAUUUCCGUCGCUAAUUCUGUCACAAAUAAAAAAGCAAAUAAAAAAAACCAUACACCGAUGGUAAUACAGACGGAUACGCGCGCCAAAAAAAAAAUUCCUCGCGGGAACAUUACCGACGGCCAAUCCGUCGGUAAUUUUAAGGGUAAUUACCGACGGCAUCACCGACGGGUUGUCCGUCGGUAUUUAUGGCAUGGCUUGUAAUUUUGUUGCAACUCUCUGUGUAAUACCGACGGAUAUUAUCCGUCGGUAUGGCCGUCGGAAGUUAAUCACCGACGGAUAAUAUCCGUCGGUGAUACUGUCGGGAAAUAUGGCAUGGAUGGUAAUUGUUCGGCAACUCUCUGUUAAAUACCGACGGAUAGUAUCCGUCGGUAUAUCCGUCGGUAUGUAUUUGAAAUAUAUAUAAAAAAUAAUUUAUUAAUUGUAAAAAACAUUAAUAAACAAAUAAAAAUGCAUUAAACAUUAAAAAUCUAAAAGUAAUAAUAUUCAUUACAAAUUUAAUGUGUUUAAAAAACAAAAUUAAACUAGUAUAGCGGCGGAGCUGGAGGAGGAGGCGGAGGAGGAGGAGGCUGGUUGUUCCCGGGACCAAACGGCCAAAAAGAAGCUGCACAAGUAUCGUCACCCAUCUUUGAUCUCAUCUCCAUGACUAUUUGACGGAGCUCAUCAUAAUUCGUCGAGAGUUGUUGAUAUUGUUGUUUCAACGCAAUGAACUCCUCAGACUGAGUGUUCGAUACUGAUGGAGAGCUUCCAACAGUUGAGACACUACGAGUCGAACGCAAGUUGUCAGCCGUAGUGUUGGAGAGCCCGUAGACCCUGUUUUUAUCGGGUCCACCAGACGAUCCCGCCUCCAUCCACAAAUCUGGAUCGAAAUCUGGAUGGGUCGACGGAUUGUCCCCAUAUCUCUCCCUCAACUGGCUAUUAUAGGUCUCCUGAAAAUUCCAUCGGUAAAAAAAUCAUCAAAUGCAAUUCAAGAUGCAAUUCAAGAAAAUAAUAACUUACAAAAUAAAAUGAAUGAACGAACAUACCACGAAGUGCUGAGCACGGUUGUCCACGAACUGCUGCACCCCUUUUUGGCGGUCUUGACUCCGCACAUGCGUCUCUAGAAACAGCUCCAUUGGACUCGGUUCACGUCCAAGAGACGCAGCCUGUAAGGAAAAAAUAGGUUGAAAGUUAAAUAUAUUAUAAGGAAUGACAAAUUAAUUAUCGAUAUAUUUCAAUAAAAUUAAUCUUACCAUCCGCUUUGCAUGUGCGCUGAAUGGGACGGAUCCGCCAGUGUGCGUGGUCACCGAACCAUAAAUUUGCCGGUUCCGGUUGUCGGCGCCAGACUGUGAGCGCCGUGAGAACCGCUCUGAGGUCACGUGCUCAAUAUAUGCCGUCCAUAUUUCCCCCGAGAUGAAUGGCGGUUUGAAUUCCUGCCAAACCGCCACCUCAUUCCAUCCUUCAAGACCGUUAUCCCUCGCUGUCUUUUUGAUUUUUUUUGGGUGUCAUACCAAAAAUCACGCAACCUACUUCCAUAGUAACAAAUUAGAAUUUAAAACAUUAAAUUAUAAAACAAAAAUAAAUAUUAUUUUUUAUGUUACCUAGUUGCCGCGUGAUUCUCCCAUACCCUCCUCACAACAUUGUUGUCCGCCCUAUCCCACUCAAAUUUGUUCUGUGUAUAUAAAUAAUUCAUAUAAAAUAAAAAUAGUACAAGAUAUAAAAUUAUAAAAAUCAUUUAUUAAAAAUAAGCUGGAAAUUAAAAAUUAACACCGACCUGAAAUCGUUUAAACCAUGCAUCGAUAUUAGGUUUCCACUCAGGAUGUUUGGAAACCUGGCUCCAUUGAAACAAUGGAAUCUCCAUCGACGAUUUAAACGCCAAUGUUAUAGUCCUUGCAGCCUCAAUGUUUGUAAACCUGAAAUUAAAUAAAAGUAGUAAUUAAUAUUAAUUAGUUGUUCAUAAAUUAUGUUAUAAGUAUAUAAAAAAAAAGUCUAAAACCUAAACAAACUUACAUUGAGAGGUCAUCCUUCCAUUGUGCCUGGUACUUGCGGGUGAAUUGACCCCGCUGUGAAGGCACACCGCUUCUGCGCUGUGAAACCGCGCUAGAAGAGGCAGCAUCACAAGUUGGCGUAGAUUCCUCGCCGUGAUCAGCACCUAAGGAUACGUCCUCCUCGCUGCUAGAAGAACUAGCUGCAACCGUCUUCUGACGACGUGCUGUAGAUUUCAUUCUACGCAUCUACACACAUGUAUACGAAUAAUUAACUUCGAUUAUUUAAAAAAAAUUCGACAGAGUCUCCCCUGUACUGGGGGGUCCCAAGUUGUCGACAAAAUCAUAUUACACUUCCAAUUUUAUUUCACAUCCCGAUCCAAUCAUCCUGGAUCUCAACCCAACUCAUCAUCAUCAACACAACAUUUUAUUCAAUAACAUCAUAUAGAAUUACAACUAUGAACAUUCAUUUAAUUAUUUUAUCCUAAAUUAAGAUAAACUAAUAAUUAAAUGCAAUUCUAUAUAUAUAAAUUAACAUUUUUAAAAUAAAUCAACAAUAACAAUUAUAUUUAUAAACUAACAUUUUUAACAUAAAUUCAACAAUAACAAUUAUAGCAAUACAAACAAUAAUAUCCUAAAUUAAGAUAAACUAAUAAUUAAAUGCAAUUCUACAUAUAUAAACUAAUAUUUUUAAAAUAAAUCAACAAUAACAAUUAUAUUUAUAAACUAACAUUUUUAAAAUAAAUCAACAAUAACAAUUAUAUUUAUAAACUAACAUUUUUAACAUAAAUUCAACAAUAACAAUACAAACAAUAAUAUCCUAAAUUAAGAUAAACUAAUAAUUAAAUGCAAUUCUAUAUAUAUAAAUUAACAUUUUUAAAAUAAAUCAACAAUAACAAUUAUAUUUAUAAACUAACAUUUUUAAAAUAAAUCAACAAUAACAAUUAUAUUUAUAAACUAACAUUUUUAACAUAAAUUCAACAAUAACAAUUAUAACAAUACAAACAAUAAUAUCAAAACUAAAAAACUAAAAUUAAUAAAUAAAACUAAAAAACUAAAAAACACUACACAACACACAAAAUUAAAAAACAUUAUAUCAAUUCAAAAUAAAUUUGGGAAUAAAAAAUGCUUACCUUAAUAAUGUGUUGAAUUUAAGAUUUUAUCUACAAACAAUAUACAAAACAAAGAACACCAAAAAAAAUAAACAUAAUUAAAAUAAAAAAAAUACAAAGAUAAAGAAAAAAAAAUACAUACCUUUUGAAACUAAAUGAGAGAAGAAGAUCACACUUGAGAAGAGGAGAAGAGAAAGGGAGAAGAGGAGAAGAGAAGUGAAAGGAGAAGAGGGGGAGAGAAAGGGAGAAGAGGAGAAGAGGGGGAGAGGGAGGAGAAGAGGGGGAGAGGAGGGGGAGAGGGAGGAGACGGUGCGGGGGGGGGGGGGUGGGGGGGCGGUAUAUAUAGGGAAAUUCCGACGGAAUUACCGACGGCCCUUAAUUGCUGUCGGUGCAAUUAAUUUCCGUCGGUAAUUCCGUCGGAAAUUAAUUGAAAUGCGCACCAAAAAAGUUCGAAAAUCCCGCCAAACUUUUCGAUCCGUCGGUAAUGCCGUCGGUGAUGGUGCAGACGGGACACGUGUCAGACAUGCGCGGGCCGUCGGUGAUGCUGUCGGUAUGUGACGUCGGUAAUUGUGCAGACGGACACGUGUCAGACAUGCGUGCGGACAAUUCCGUCGGUGAUGCCGUCGGUAUUGGCGUCGGAAACGCCGUUGGUGAAUGUGGCAAAAUCCCGUAAUUUUUUUGCAACUCUCUGUGAAAUACCGACGGGUUAUAGGUCGUCGGUAUAUCCGUCGGUGAAUGUGGCAAAAUCCCGUAAUUUUUUUGCAACUCUCUGUGAAAUACCGACGGGUUAUAGUCCGUCGGUAUAUCCGUCGAUGAAAAGGUAAAUUUUUCUUAUGUUUUAUAUGUAACCCUCUCAAAAAAUCUUGAAUUGCAAACUAAAAAACACACACAACACAAUAACAACGGCUGACCCUUAAAAAAGAAUAAAUAUUUCAUGUUUCAAAUUAUUACAUUAUAAAAAUAAGGACAUGUUUAGUUAGUCGGAAUUUUCAUCUUCGUCCUCCAUUGAAUUGUUAUCAUCAGCUUCAUCGCACUCUUCAAUUUCGUUAUCAUCUUCUUCAACAACAUUCUUUUUUCUACUAGUGGAGCUCAGAACAACAUUCAACUCCUCUGCGUCAACAUCAACAAGACUAUCGUUGAAAACGCGAAAAUUCGAAUUUUCUUCUAAGUCAAUCGACGGAGCAACUCGGUAUGGUUCAACCAACUCACUAGCUUGAAAGACUUCAUCUAUCACACUUGUGUCUUCGUUCUCAUCCUGAACAACCUCGACACGACCCUUGGGUUUUGUUUUUAAAACGGAUAACCAAUCAACUCUUGAUCGGUCCUUUCUAAAGGAAGGGGUGUAUGUGUAAUAAACUUGUUGGCAUUGCUUUGCGAAAACAAAGACGUCGUUUACGUUGCGGUGUCUAGCUUUUGAAUUGAUUUCAACGAGACCAUAGUGAGGAUCUACUCUGAUUUCUCUGUCAGUUGUGUCAUACCAAUAACAUUUGAAUAAAAACACUCUAUUUUGCUCGCUAUGAUAUUGCAGUUCGAUGACCUCUUCCAAUCUACCGUAGUAGUCAACUUCAAACUCACUAGAAGUCGAUCCCUUAAUACAAACACCACUGUUGUAUGUCUUUCUUCCAUGCCCGUAUUCUUCAGUAUGAAAGACAUAUCCAUUGACAAAAUAUCCAUUAUAGCACUUGACUUUUCUUUCAGGGCCCAGACAUAGUAAAGACAGUGAAAUAGCAGCACUACCUCCCAUUUGAUAAACCUAGCUUGUAAAUUAAAUACAACAAUAAUCAAUAAACGGAUAUUAUGUAACAUUGACUACAAUUAAUUACAUUGCAAGAGAUAAUGAGUUUGUGCUAGGACUUACAUGUGUUCUAAACCAUGUGGCAAAUUGUUCAUCUUGUAAUUGAAAGAUCUGGGAUUCGGUCAGCUGUGAGUUAUUGGACAGUAAGUAUGGUCGAUGUUGCCUGCAAGGUUGUUCCAAAGUAUAUGAGUGUAUGGUAUCACAAAACAUAAAUAGUACACUCUUGACAAAGUUUAAGUCGAACAUCUACUUACUUAAUAAAAGGUCUCAGCUCAUCACAGUUAAAUAGGACAUAAUUGUGUGCUUGUCUGAACUCUAUUUCAGACAAAUAUCUUCCCCUCACGGCAUUUUUAGGUGUGGGUCGUCCAGGAUUGGAGAAUAUUGACAAGUUCCCACUUGAAUGCACUUCCCCACCAUCAUCAUGCCGUGGAACAUGGUUUAUCCUCGUUCUCAAAUGAUGUUCGAAAUAGUAUGAGAUAAAUGUUGAGAUCUCCUCAACAAUAUACGCCUCACAUAUUGACGCCUCAACAUGCGCCUUGUUCUUAACCUUUUUUUUAAGAUUGAACAAGUACCUGCAUAUAUAUAUAUAUAUAUAUAUAUAUAUAUAUAUAUAUAUAUAUAUAUAUAUAUAUAUAUAAAUUAUCAAUUAAAAACAUUAAAAUAAAAACAUUUAAUUAUAAAUGUCAUAGCAACUGUAAUAUCUAACCUCUCGAAUGGAUACAUCCAUCUGUACUGGACCGGUCCUCCAACUUUUACCUCAAACGGUAAAUGUACGGGUAGAUGCUCCAUUGAGUCAAAAAAUGAUGGAGGGAAUAUCAUCUCAAGUUUGCAUAUUGUCUCGACGAUAUUCUUUUCAAGCCUCUCAAUGUGAUCAACAUUCAACUUGCUGGAGCAUAUAUCUCUGAAGAAAUGACUAAUCUCCGUUAGUGCAUCCCAUAUCCCCUUUGGCAACAAAUCACGAAAAGCUAAUGAGAUGAGUGUUUGCAUAAACACAUAGCAGUCAUGACUCUUCAUUCCAUAUAAUCUGCAUUCCUCCGUAUUAACCAGCCUUGAUAUGUUCGAGGCAUGUCCAUCGGGGAAACGCAGACUCUUAAGCCAUUUGUAGACUAGUAGUUGUGCGUUUUUCUCUAGCACGAAGCUUGCUCUUGGUUUUGCGACCCGUGACCCAUCACAAACCAACUCCAUAUUUUUACGGUUACAGAACAGCGCUACAUCCAAUCUAGCCUUGAUGUUGUCCUUUGUCUUCCCCUUCACAUCCAUGACGGUGUUGAAAAUGUUCUCAAACACGUUCUUUUCAAUGUGCAUGACGUCAAGGUUAUGGCGGAGAAGAUUGGUCUUCCAAUAAGGAAGCUCCCAAAAUAUACUUCGCUUCACCCAAUUAUGGGUCAAACCAAAACCAGGAAACUUCUGCUUACCUGAUUGGAGACCAAACACAAUUUCACCGUACUCUGACACAACAUCAAACAAUUCUUCACCGGAAAGACGCGGGGGUGCAACAUCAUUUUCAACCCUGCCAACAAAGAAAUCCUUUCUGUUCUUUCUGUACCUGUGGUUAUGUGGCAAGAAACGACGGUGACAGUCAAAAAAAGAAGCUUUACCCCCGUUUGUUAGCGUGAAUGCCUUGUUGUUCUCCAUACAAUAUGGACAUGCUAGCUUUCCAUGCGUGCUCCAACCAGACACCAUUCCAUAAGCUGGGAAAUCAUUGAUAGUCCACAUCAAAGCCGCUCUCAUAACAAAAUUUUGUUUCCUCGAGAUGUCAUAAGUCAAAGCUCCAGAGGACCACAACUGCGUCAACUCAUCAAUCAACGGAUGAAGACAAACAUCUAUAUUCCGCCCCGGACUGCUCGGACCUGGUGACCAUAGAUAAAAACAUGAACUCCGGCCUCAUACACAUCCCCGGUGGCAAGUUAUAAACCGUCAGUAUGACCGGCCAACAAGAAUAAGGAGCAGCAAAUGACCUGAAUGGAUUGAAUCCGUCUGUACACAACCCAAGACACACGUUCCUUGAUUCAGCUGAAAAGGGAGGAUGCAUACUGUUAAAGUGUUUCCAGGCUUCACCGUCAAAAGGAUGAACCAUCACUCCAUCAACCGCAUGGUGUGAUUGGUGCCAUGUCAUGUGCUCAGCAGUCCUUGGUGACAUGAAUAACCUCUACAGUCUAGGUGUGAUUGGGAAGUAUCUAAGUUUUUUAUAUGCCACGAGAGUCUUCCCUCUACCAGUUCUAGGUUUGUAACGGGAAUGCCCGCACGUCAUGCACUCGGUCAUCUCGGCAUUUUCAAGGUAGUAUAACAUGCAGAAGUUAGGGCAUAUAUCAAUUUUCUGGUAUCCUAAACCGAGGGGUUUCAUCAUGGACUUGGCAGCAUAGAAGUUCUCUUUCAGCCUGUUCCUUUCAGGUAAAUUGCUUCUCGCCCAUUCAAUAAUCUUGUCAUAACCGGCCUCACUCAACCCGUGAUCUGACUUGAUGGUGAACACCUGUGCUACGGCUGAUAAUUUACUGUGGUUCGUGCAGCCAUCCCAUAAUGGUUCGUCAGAAUCUCUAAACAGAUCAAAAAACCUUGCUGCAUCUGCAUUAGGUUCUUCUUCUACGAUUGGACAUCCCCUGACAUUAUCUUCACUCAUUCUCAUUGCAUCCAUAACCAUAUUCCUGUAAGGAUUACUGUUCUCAUUUCCAACUUCAUGCAUGUUACUAGCACUAGAAGUUGACCCAACCACCUGUUCUUCCAUGCUCUCAUCAGGAACAAAUAGUUCUCCGUGAGCAUACCAACACAGGUAAUCUUCCAUGAACCCUUUGGUUAGAAGAUGCAUCGUUACAACAUCUUGAUGUAGAAACUUUAAAUUUUUACACUUCCUGCAUGGACACCUAAUACUGCCAUCAGUAAAAUUCCUCGGAAUAGAUGUUGCGAAAUUAAUAAAACCCUGGACACCGUUACAAUAAUCCAUCCUCCGCAAUCCUUGGGGUGAGUUCCGAUACAUCCAUGAACGAUCAUCCAUGACUUCUAUUGAACCUCUAUAAAACAUAACAAAAAUAUUGGUUUUCCCCGACAUUAUCCAACAAACUAAAACAACACUUAUGUUAAAUAUUCAUUAUCAAUUAUCAACUAUCAACGUUCAUACAUACAAAUUUAUACAUAUAUAAAUUUACAGAAUUACUCACAACUUCAAAAUAUAAUUGAUAACAAUUAAACAAGACACUUAAAUACGCUAUUAAUUAUUUAUUUCAUCACAACGACACAUUUAAUUCGGUGUAAUUCAAACAAAAUUUCAACAAUUUACAAACAAAUAUAAUUUGACAAAAUCUAAAACAACCUAUAACAACUACAAAAUUAUACAUUCAUACUACAAGUUUCUUUGACAAAUAACAAUUAAACAAGUACAAACGUUAACAAAAUACAUAUACUAAAAUAAUAAAAUUCACAAUUAAAUAUUAAAACUAAUUAAAAAGGAUAGAUUUACUUACAAAAAAAUGAUAAAAUCUACAAGAAACGGAUAUUGUGACCACGUACAAGAUAUAAGAAACUUGAGUGCUCGUGUUGAGAAUAAUGGAGAGUUUGGGAUGGGUGUUUGGCUGCAGUUUGGGAGGAGUUUGGGAGGGGAGAGGUGGGAUGGGAAAGAAAAAGAAGGAGAAACAGAGGAUGAGAGUGUCGGCAGAUGGGUGUAUAUAAUGGCUUUUUCCGACGGAAUCACCGACGGAAUAAUUCCAUCGGUGAUGCCGUCGGUGACAUCGCCACGUCACUGUACGGCUAUCACAGUUUGAAUCCCUCGGUACUUUCCGUCGGUAAAAUCGCCUGACGUCACCAUUCCGUUGCGUAUUUCCAGACGAACUGUAUAUGUCGUCGGUGAAGUUGACGGAAUAUUUCCGUUGGUAUCUACCGACGGCAUUACCGACGGCAUUAUUCCGUCGGUAUAUACCGACCGAUUUUGAGACGGAAUUAUUUCCGUCGGUAUUAAUUACCGACGGAAUAUGUCCGUCUGUAAUUCCGUUGCUUUUCUCCGGUUUUCUGAUAGUGUACUGAGAUACAUGCAUUUAUACAUACCCACGAUCAAAGGAAACACUGGUAGCUCAAGUGGUUUCGCAGGCGCACCAACCAAAACCAGCUUUCCUUGAGUCUUCAAUAGACUAAUCAAAGGCAAGAUAGGAUGCAUGGCCGACACCGUGUCAAUUACACCAUCCAUUGUGCCCAUUGCAGCCUGAAUAGCAAGCAAUAUUAGAUCAUAAAACAAACAUACAGGAUAAAAGAUUUGAUUUAAUGUUUAACUAGUUUACAAAUGCAAGGAAGGUGCUCUGAAUCAUGUUUAUAUACCUGCAUCUGAUCCUGAUCACGGCUAACCAAAAAUGAGUCGGCACCAAGAUGCUCGAGGGCUUCUUGUUUCUUGUUGGGUGAGGUGCUAAUAACUGUCACCUUGACCCCCAUAGCUUUUGCAAACUUUACAGCUACAUGACCUAGCCCACCGAGCCCAACCACACCCACAUGCUGUCGCUUACUCUCAACUCUAUUUCCUUGCGUUGAAUUAACAAGUGAGAAAAAAAAAAUUGUGAAUUUCCGGCUUCCAAACCAAUGGUUGUGUUUGUGUGCCUCCCAAUAAAAUAAUAUAUUGGAAAAGUUAAUGUGAUUUUUAAUGCAUGAACUUUUAUGAUUUCCUUAGAUGAUGCUUAAUUUUAUUUGAAUAGAUUUCCCAAAUUAAAAAAUAACUAAAAUAUGGAUGUCCCUCCAUUUAUGUCAGCGUGUCUCUUGUAGGCUGACAUGGUGAUGUGCAUAUAACAGGGCUGCUCUCUUUGUUGAAAUCUAACAGUUUUCCACUGUACCGUGUAAAAGCAUGUGCAUAUAAAAAUAAGAGUGAGGUUAUUGUUUAGGUAGUUUUUUUUUUUUGAAAAAAAUAAAUUUUAAUAAAGUAUGGUUAGUUGUAGUUAGUUGGAUUUAGAUACGUAUUUGGUAUAAAUUAUGGUUGAAAUUUAUGUGUAGUAAAAAUAUAUUUAUAAAAUGUUUGGUUUGUGUUUGAGAAUGUGUUUACGGUUGCUUUUCAUAGUAUUUUUUACUUGGAAAUGCAUUAAAAUAAUAAUAUUAUUAUUAUUAUUUAAAAUUAUUUUUGAUAUCAGCGUAUCAAAAUAAUAUGAAAACACCAAAAAAAUAUUAAUUUGAAGCAAAGAAAAAAAUAAAAAAAUUUUAAAUUUUUUCAAAAGCGCUUUUGAAACGCAAAAAAACAAAUGGGGUUCUAGGAAUUUUUUUUGCUGUUUUUUAUAAUUUUUUAUUUUAUUUUAUCAUUUAAUAUUAAGUUAGUUGAAAUUAAAUUUUAUUUUUUAUCUGCUUUUUAUGGGGUUAUCUCGAUUUCAUACCACGGGUUGCGGGUUGGAUAAGUUGACUCGGGUUGAUUUUGUUUAAUUUUUUUAUCCUUUUAUAAUUGAGUAUUUUUUUAAUUGGGUUUUAUAAUAUUUUUUUAAUUUUUUUCUAUAAGUUUAUCCUGAUCUCAUGAUCCAAGUUGCGGGUUUAGUAGGUUGAUCAAAGUUGACUUGAUUUAUUUUUUAGGUUCUUUUUUAAUUGAAUAUAUUUUUAAAAAAAUCAGCAUUCAACAACUCAAAUCUUUUGUUUUUUUUCAAUUUCAUCCAUCAAUAUUAAGUUGUUUAGAAAUUUAGCAACGUAUUUUUUUUUUCAAUUUGCUUUUUAUGGAGUUAUCCCGGUCUUAAGGAUUUAUUUUUUUCACCUCUCAAUUUCAACCUUUAACAUUAGAUCUAUUAGGAAUGGAGCUUCAUGACUUUUUUAUUUACUUUUUAUGAAGUUAUCCUGAUUCAUGACCUAGGUCAUGGGUUUAAUAGGUUAGUCUGAGUUGACUUCGAUUGUUUUUUAUUUUUUAUUUUUUUUUUCAUCAUUGAAAACUAGGUCGGUUGAAAAUUGAGAUUCUUAUGUUUUUUUUACUUUCUUUCUAUCAGAUUAUCUCAAUCUCAUGGCCCAUAUCACGAGUUUUGCAUGUUGACACUACCAGAAAAUCGAUAAAUACAAACGGAGAUACCGAGGAAAUAUUUUCAUCGGUAAAUUUCUGAGGGAUUUUACCGACGGAAAUAUUCCCUCGGUAUAUACUGAGGGAAUUACAGUGGGAAAAAAAAUUAAAACAAAGCAAAAAAAAAAUGAUGACGUGUCAUUUUUACCAACGGAAUUACCGUCGGAAUACUAUUCAUUGGUAAACUGUGAACACUGUUCAUCAUGUCAAUUACAAAGGGAAUCACCGACAGAAUUUUCCGUCGAUAUUUUUCAGAGAGCUCCAGAACUGUUUACUUUCCAAUUGCACUGUUAAUUGUUGUUCUUUACGAACAAAAUCACAAACGGAUUGAAAAUGCAUCAGUGUUAUUUGGCGGUUUUCUGAAAAAAUUCAAUUAAUUUAAAAUUUUCAUUUAAAUAUUACAGACAGAAUCACCGACGGAUUGAAAAAUCGUCGGUAAUUGUUAGCGGUUUCUGAAAAAAAUUACGAAAUUGAAAAUUUAAAUUAAAUAUUACCGAUGGAAUUACCGACGGAAUAAUUAAAAAAUAUUAAUAUUCAAUUAUCCAUCGGUAAAUCCGUUGCUAACGCGCCCCAAUAAAAAGCCUGAAUCCUCUUGUUUCACAAGAGACAGACUCAUUUCUUAUUAUUCUUCUUGUUCUACUUCUACUUCUUCUUCUUUUUCACUGUAUGUAAAAAACAUCAAUAUCUAUUUCUUUCACUUCUUUUCUCUCCUAAUCUCCUUCUCUUUUCCUCCAUGCUCGGGUAUGUCUUCUUCUUCUUUCUUCUUUUAUCCUCUUAUUUUUUUUAAUUAAAAUGCUUUACGAAAUUAUUUUUCUCGCAUUAGCUUCACUUGCAACUACAUUAAGGUAAUAUUUUUCUUUUUCCUUCUUUUUUCAUGAUUUUUUUCACUAUAUUUGUUUUUUAUUUUAUUUUUAAUUGUUUUUGUUCUUAAUAAUUGUAUAAAUGUUGUUGUGAUAUUUUUUUUUCAUAUGAGAUCAAUUUUUAGUUGAUUUAUUUAUAGGAUUUUUAAAUUUUUAGCAAUUGCAACUUCAUUUUUUUCAUAUGAAUUUUUUUAGUUGAAUUUAUUUUUUCGUUUUAUUUAUUUGUUGCAAAUUUUUUUGAAUUGAUUUUUUCAUUCUUUUUUCCAAGCAUUUUGAGUAUAUAUUAUACAAUGUUGAUUUAUGUUAAUUUAAUUAUUUUAUAAUUUUAUAAAAUGAUUUUUUUUAAAAUGUUUUUAAAUAAUCCGUUGGUAAUAAAAAAUAUUAUUUCCCAGGGAUAUACCGAUAAAAUUAAGCGGGUAAUUUUUGUUUUACCAACGGAAAAAAAAUUACUGAUGAAAGAUUCACCGACGGAUCAUUUUCGUUGGUAAAUUAAUUACCGACGGAAUAUGUGUUUUACGCCGACGGAAAAAUUCUGUCGGUAAAACUGUUAAAUCUUGUAGUGUGAUUUGAGUAUUUUUUUGUUAAUUUUUUAUUUAAUAUUCUUCUUUAAAUUCCAUCCUUCAAUACUGAGGUUGGUAGGAAUUGAUCUUUAUAAUAUAUUUUGAUUUGUUUUUUAUACGUUUGUUACAAUUUCAUGACCUGGAUUGCGAAUUUGAUAAGUCAAUCCGGAUUGAUCCAACAUGUAACUAUCUCAAAAAAAAUUAAAAAAAUCAUCUAAUAUGUUACCAUAUUAAUAUUUUUUAAAAAAAUAUCAUUCAAUAUACAUUAUCUUUUAAGUUUAUAAUUAAUUUUUCUUAUUAAGAAACAUGUUAAUAUCGCUUCAACAUUUGUUUUUUUAAGUAGUAACAAUGAUAACAAUGAUGGUGAUGCUGAUGAUGAUGAUAAUAAUAAUAAUAAUAAUAGAUGUGGUGGUGGUGGUGGUGGUGAUGGUGGUAAUAAUGAUAAUGACAAUGAUGAUACUAGUGAUAAUGAUGCUAAUAAUAAUAACAACAAUAGUGAUAAUAAUAACGAAACUGAUAAAAAAAACAACUAAAAAGGAAGGGGGUUUUCUUGUAGAUAUAAAGACAAUCUACCAUUCACUACAACAAGUGAAGUCUAUGGCAUUAAAAAAAAAAAGAGACUUGCCUUGGAGUUAGGGGUGUUUUUGUAUCUUCACACGGCUAUUAGUUAUUAUAGAUUUGGCUGGGGAAUUUUGACCUAUUUAAUAUUCUUAAUGGCAGUAAAAUAACAAAAAAAAAUCCUAAUAAUAAAAGAAUCAACACAGCAAGGACAAAUGUAUUUCAAUAUUUUUAUUUUUUAUAUAAAUAGUCAAAUUACACAUAUACCCUUGAAUCCAAAAAAUAUAAGUAAUUAGGGUCAGGGGUAUUAAGAUGUUUUAGCCUAGAUUUUUUUUUUGUUAAUUGUAUGAUUGAUUGAUGAUGAAAACAUAAUUUAACAUCUAAAUAAUAUUUUUAAUCUGGAAAAAAUGUUGGCACAUUGGGGUUGCCACGCAGUUUGGGUGGCAGCUCUCGGUUAAUUUUAUUUAUCUUCAUCUUCUUUUUCAUUGUGGGUUGUAGGUGUUGUCAAUAAAUAAACAACGUUGUCCUAAUUUUAAUUAAUAUUGAUACAUAUUUAUGAUGUUCGUCUUUUAUGUUCUUUUUUAACCUCAUUUUAGGACCCAAACAUUAUUUUAUUGUAUGAAAAAAUAUUUCAGCCCCGCGGAGAAGAGUGGACACUAAAGCUAGUUUUGUCUAUUUCGAUUUGUUUACGAAGGUGUUUCCAUCAAAAUUUUCCAAUAAAAGCAUGACACGUGUAUCAUUUAAUCAGCAAUUAAUUGGGUGUUAAAACAUGUAAGCAAGUCUCUCAUGCCCUCCUUUCAUAUCUGUCUUUGUUAAUAAAAAGGGAAAAAGAAAAUCCCCAUCGAGAGAGCGACAUUAGACCAUGAACUUAUCUCAAGAUAUCAAAACUCAAAAAGAAAAUUCCAUGCUACCUUGUUUUUUGUUAAAAAAAUUGAUAUUUAAUAGUUUUAUUAUACAUCCAACAAGAAUUAUUGUAUUUUUUUCAUAAGUUAUUAUAUUUAUGUCAAGAUUUAAAUUUAUCAGGAAACCGUAGUGAAUAAGAUUAUUAGAUAUUGAUGUGUUAACUAUAUAUGAUUUAUUAAUCUCCAAUCAAUUAAUAUUUUUUUUUGCUCUAGUAAUUGAAGGAGAACCACCAGACAUAAGUUGAUCUCGCAUCAAAGUUCCUCGAUUUUUUUUUAAAUUAACACUGCUUAAAAAAAUAUGGUAAAAUAAUAUAUCCAUAAAAAAAAAACUCGGCAACGAAAAAGAAAAAAGCAAAGCACAUAUAAUUUGCUAAAAUGAAUAUUAUAAAAAGAGUUGCUAAAACGAAAUAAUAAUUUAUUAAUAUCGAAGAAAAUACACAAGUUCUAAUAAAUCGAUAUAUACAUACCCCUCACCUCAACAAAAAUACAACCACCAGACAAACCCAUAUAUAAUAAUAAAUAAACCUUUAUUUCACCGUAUAAACAAACAAAUAAAUAAUAGUACUAAAAAAAAUCCCUCAAAAAAAGACUCUCAAAAGAGUAACACGUGUAUAAAUCCCAUCCCAGUAAAACAUAAAAAUGACCAAGAGAAUCACAGAUCACAAAAACCUAGUGCCUCAAAAGAGAAAGCAUAGACAAGAAGAGAGAAGAGCAGAUAAGAGCCCCAGACAUCCCAAGAGAAAAGGAAGCAGCUCCCUUGUCCAUUCCAGGAGCUGGCGCUGGCGCUAACUCUCCAAGAUCUUGGGCGGAAACAGCAACACUGGCAAGCAUUGCCAUGACAACAGCAGCAGCAGCAAACAACUUCAUUGCAGCAAAUGCCAUUGUACAAAAUCGGGUGUCAAGACACGAAAACAAACCCUUUCAAGAGAUAUACUGAGAGCGUAACCAAAUCUUGAAUAUUGUUCAGUGUUCUUGAUCCAGGGUGGUGAUGAGAAGGACGAAGUGGCAAGGGGUGUUUAUAUAGUGAGGGUUGGUGUAGGUUUUCACAAAGAAAACGUGUGGGGUCAUAGAUAACGUGGACAGCUGGAGAGACACGUUGAGGCAGAGAAACACAGAGGCCAGCAAUAAAACGGCUGGUGCUUAAAAAUAAUUUGAUUUUUAUUAACGUUAGCGGACACUUGGAGUCCUGAUUUUAUUUCCCUAUCUUGGUAAACCGUUACCUAACACUAGUCCCCAUGUCGAACACUCAACGUCUUUUGUGUUAACAUGGAAAGUUUACACAAAAAAUUGACUUCAAAUUAAUGGGAUUAAUUUAAGGAGAUCAAAGUUGAAAAACUAAUUUUUAAAUGAUCAUUUAUCUGUUUUUUUAAAGACUACGUACUAUAUCUUUGCAGCACUAUUGUCGACCCGGCAAUAUUGAAAGGUAACAAGGUGAUUAAAAACUUGAAAUUAGUGUUUUUAUCAACAUUCAAUGCAUAAAAAAAUAGCGAGGAAGAAAGUAGUCGAACGAGUCUGUCUGAGAGUAUAGUCGUGAUUGCUUUUCGUGUAAAAUAUAUUAAAAUAAUAUUUUUUUAUUUUUAAAAAUUAUUUUUGACAUCAUCGCUUCAAAAUAUCUAAAAAUAUCAAAAAAAAAUUAAUUUGAAGUAAAAAAAAUAAAAUAAAAAUUAAUUUUUUUCAAAAAUAUUUUUAAAAUAUAAAAACAAACAUCACCGUUAUCCAUGUCCCUCUUCGACAGGCAUGGUGUGUUUUAUCAAUUUUUUUUUUAGUUUAACGUGGGUGUUCGGGUCAGCUUGCGCGCACCUCGACUAAUCCCACGGGCCCUGAAGUUAACGACCAUGUAAGCCUUCAGUGCCCAUCAUAUGAGCAACCACAUGGCUCAAACCUGAGACCACAAAGGGAGCAAACCUCUUGGUCCCAAGCUUUUAUCACUGGACCACCACCUAAAUGGUUGUGUUUUAUCAAUUUUGAAUUAUGGGAUAGUGACCUAAUUAAUUUAACAAUUCAACAUCUUAAUUAAUAUUGUUAAUUAUAAGAGUUUCUUCAUCCGGCCAUGUUUGACGUCCUUUAUUCUAAACUCAUCCAACCGCUGGUUGUACAAUGAAAUCAACACCAAACACAUAAAAUAUCAAGAUAGAAGUAGUUCUUUCUCACAUCAAAUAAUUAAAGGAGGAAAGUAUUUUUUUGUUUUAGAGAGAGAAAAGAUGGAAAUAAAUUAAUUUUUAUUCAAUGUGUGGGAUUGAAAAGAUCAUGAUUAAAUUGACGCUAAGGGUUUUAAGUAAUUAUGAUAAAGGAAAAUAAAUUAAUGUGUGGGAUUGAAAAGAUCAAGAUUAAUACCUAUAUUUGUUAAAACAGGACUUACUGAUAAUUUGUCCAAAGAAUAAGGUCAUGUCUGCAAAUAACAGGGUUGCUCUCUUUGUUGAAAUCUAAUAGUUUUCCACUGUACUAGGUUGGCGUAUCAUUUUCAGUUCGAUUCGGUUUUUUAUAAAAAAAAUAAUCAGACCGAUUUAAAAAAAAAAUAAAAACCGGUUUGGCUCAGUUGGGCUCGGUUUUGACUCGGUUUUUUCUAGUUUGGAUUGGUUUUGGCUCUGUUUUUUUAAUUUAGGUUCGGUUCGGUUUGGUUUCAGACUUAUAAAACUGAAACCGAACUGAAUCGGUCGGUUUUCUCAAAAUUUUAAUCGAUUUAAUUUGUUUAUUUUUACGGUUCGAUUUUUUCAAUUUUUAUUUUUAUUUUUUUGGUUUAAUCGGUUUUUUUCUCACCCAUGAUACUAGUGAGUAAAAGCAAUGUGCAUAUAAAAAUAAAUCUGAAAAACGGAUAACGUUGAAGUACAGGCGCUUGAAAAGAAAAACAUUGAAGUUUUCUUAUCUUAAAUUGGGCUGGGUUAGCCGAAAUGUACUCCAUUGAUCGAUUCAUAUAAAGUGAUGCUCUUCUGAUAAAUAAUAAUAAAGUGAGGUGCUUAAACAAAAUAAAUAAAAGCUGAAAUACUUGAACAGAAAUUUAACAAAAAUAGAGGUACUAAAUAACGUCACAUCAUUGCUUCAAAUUUCAAACCAUAAUUAAAUUGUGCUCAAUGCUCAUAGAGGCACCGAAAAAUCUUAAGAUUUUUCAAACUGACGAAUCUCACUUUACAUGCGUUUUAUUCGUACAGUGUUUAUGAGGUAGAGAUUUCAAAUCUUCAUUGUGUUGCCGAUGUCGAUAACAAAUCGGUAUCUGACAUCUGUUUUCAUAAGCCGCUCCAUGGCUGUGUUCACAUAAUCCAUCGAGAUAACCUCAAUGUCUGCCGUGAUGUUGUUCUUGGCAGCAAAAUCAAUCAUCUCCUGUGUUUCCUUCAUUCCUCCUAUGCAACUCCCACCCACUAUUUUUCUUCCUGCCAAGCCAAUAACAUGGAAUUCGUCGCUGUCAGCUCAAUACCAAAAUAAAUUUGGAACACAUAAUGAGAUGCAUGCAUAUAUACAUACCCAUGAGCAGAGGAAACACUGGUAGCUCAAGUGGCUUCUCAGGCGCACCAACCAAGACCAGCUUUCCUUGAGUCUUCAAUAGACUAAUCAGAGGCAAGAUAGGAUGCAUGGCCGACACCGUGUCAAUUACACCAUCCAUUGUGCCCUUUGCAGCCUGAAUAACAAGCAAUACUAUAUUAUGUUUGAUGUUUAAUUGGUUUUACAGAUACAAGGAAUGUGCUCUGAACCAUGUUUAUAUACCUGCAUCUCAUCCUGGUCACGACUAACUAGAAACGAGUCAGCACCAAGAUGCUCAAGGGCUUCUUGUUUCUUCUUGGGAGAGGUGCUAAUAACUGUAACCUUGACCCCCAUGGCCUUUGCAAACUUUACAGCUACAUGACCUAGCCCGCCGAGCCCAACCACGCCCACAUGCAUACCCGGUUUGUCAAGAUUAAAAAACCUCAAGGGGCUGUAAACUGUAAUCCCAGCACAUAGGAGAGGCGCAGCGGCAUCUAGAGGUAGGUUGUCUGGAAUACGAACUACGAAGUGCUCAUCCGUGACCAUGCUGUUCGAGUAGCCUCCGUACGUGGUGGUUCCAUCGGAGUAUUUGGUACUGUAGGUGAGUAUCAUUUUUGGGCAAUAAUUCUCGAGAUUGUUGUUGCAACUAUCGCAAGAGUGGCAUGAUCCAACCAUGCACCCCACCCCCACUUUGUCUCCAACUUUGAACUUCUCAACUUUGCUUCCUACCUCUGUCACUUCCCCAACAAUCUCAUGCCUGCAGUGCCAAUUUAAUUUAAUUAACCCUCAGAUGCAAUGCAUGGAUGAAUUUAGUCCAGUCAAAGUUCCUCUAAACAUUUUCCUUGGACUGCCAAUUGCCAUUCAUAAUGUUUAUGUGCAAAAAAAAAUGAGAAAUAACUAUAUAUACGGUCAUAGAUUUUUCGUACUGUGUGUACAUACCCGGGAACUAGAGGGUACAUGGAAGUACCCCACUCAUUCUUGGCCAUAUGAAGGUCUGAGUGACAUAUUCCACAAAACAGCACCUUGAAUCGCACAUCCUUCUCUCCUGUAGACCUGUUGCAAGAAGGUUUUUCUUGCUUAGCAUAAACCGCAAGUGAAAAUGAGAGAUAUUCAUAGGUAGAAAAUCAAUCAGAUCGCCAUUCACCUACCAUAAUAUUACUAAAAAUAUAAAGCUAUAACAUGUGAUUCAAUAAACUUAUUUCACAUAUUAAAAAUAAAAGACUGCCAUAUAUCUGAUGUAGCCCAUCUUGCAGCUGCGCUGAAUGCUUGUUGGUGUUUAGAAAAACAAGAAGAAAAUGGAUCCAAGUAAACCGAGCUAGACGAAAAGAAAAAUAAAAUCCCAUAAUUAAAUAAAGCAGCGACAAGAUGGAGGAGAGGGAAUAACCUCCUGGAGAAUUUGAAAGGAGAGAGGACCCCGGAUUGGUCUCUGGCUGCCCAUCCAAAAGCCUUGUUAGGAUGUUCUUCCUCGUAAGAUUUUUCUGCCAUUUCCCCCCUCGUUUUGCUUUAUUUGGUACUGCCGAGAGAGCGUGCAUGGUGCACCUAUUUAUAAUGGCGGUUGGUCUGCCAUUGCGUAUUGGCAGGGAUGACAUACUGGGUGAGCUAAGCACCUUAAGUCGCUCAUCCGUGAGCUAAUCAAUUACCUUGAGAGAAAAGCCAUGUCCAUGUAGUCAUAUUUUAUUUUUUUCAUAAUCAUCAGAGUAUACUGAAAAGGCUAUAAAGCCAAUACUCAAAGUAAAAUAUAGGUAAAAAAAAGAAAAAGAAAAAAAAUAACAGACUUAUGUAACCAAAUAGUUCAAUAAAAACAAAGAGAUUACUUAAAAUUUCUUCUUACACCAGAAUUUGAUGUCAUCAAAAGAUCCUAAGAGGUCUUUUCCUGUAUAAGUGAAGUUUGAAUCUAGAAUAUAUAACCAAAUAGCAACCCGAUGAAGGAUGAUGAAGAAGUAAUCAAACAAGCUUAUGGAUCCCUCCUUAAAAACAAUUUUGUUUCUCAACAACCAAAUACCCCAAGUAGUACUGCUGGAGAUUAGUCUCCAAGCUAAUCUUUGGAAUUUGCCUUGCAUCAUUACGGGCCAUUGUAGAAGUAGCGAGUCUAGAGUGCUCGGUAAACAACAUUGGAUACCUCACAAAUCCAAAACUUUCAUCCAAACACUCCUAGAAAAGUUACAGUGUAUAAAAAGGUGCUCUGAAAUUUUCAAAUCUGAGCUGCAAAAGACACACGAAGCUUGUGUGGCAGACAAAACAUUCCGAUGAUAGAGAAAAGCUCUUGUACUAACUUUUUCCUGAAUUGCCAAUUAGAGAAACACCUGAACUUUCAGAGGGGCCCAUUUAAUCCAAACGUUGGCUUCAAAAUCUCUAUCAUUACUAGAGGAGGUACUAUCAAUGAGAAUGCAACAUGACUUAACUGAGAAGCUUCCAUCAUAAUUACAUGACCGCAUGAGUUUGUCAUCUUUUCCUUGCCGAAUUAUUAUUGGCUCCAGCAUUGAGAGCAAUUGAUGAUAUUGUUGCUCUUCCUAAGAUAACAGGUUCCUGUGCCAAACCAAAUUCCAUCGCCAAUGAUCAUUCACUUAUUGACCUAUCUCAUGAACCAAAUCAUUCUGAUUAGUUGAAACUUUGUAAAGCCUCGGGAAAAUGCUACAAAAGCAUUUGAUUCUAUCCACACGUUGGACCAAAAGAGAAUGGAGGACCCAAUCAUGAAUUUAAGGUUUUGACGCAAUACUAAGCCAAUAACACUGUUUGGAUCCAAAACCAACAAAAUAUCUUUCCAAAAUGGGGAAAUAUAACCAUGCAAUUUUGGGAUUCCAUUCUCGAAAGUUAUGGAGUAAAAUUGGAUGUUACCUAUUUUCAUAAGGCAUGGCUGGCGAGUGUAGUAAUAGUUACCUUGACUUCUCGGCUGAGAAAUUCCCCAUAAAGUUAUCUCAAGCAUAGUUUUUAAACUCGGCCCAGUGGCUGGCCCGGUCCAAGGCCCGGGUUCCGGGUUUUGAUCGGGUCAGCUGGUCGCCCGGGUCAAUUCCUAUUUUAAAAAAAAUCAAAACAACAUCGUUUUAGUUAAAAAAACAAAAUUCAACGGGUUGCAACCGAGUUUUUGACCGGGUUUUGCCAGGUCAACCCGUCGGGUCAGCCAGGUUACACCGGGUCACACCGGGUCAUGACUUUUUGUAUUUUUUCUUUAACUUGGCCCGAUUCCAGCCCCGGGUCAACCGAAUCCUUGAUCGACCCGCCAGAUCGGACCGGAUUUCAAAACUAUGAUCUCAAGUAUGUUGUCGCUUACUCUCAACUCUAUUUCCUUGCGUGAAUCAACAAGUGAAAAGAAAAAACACAUGUGAAUUUCCGGCUUCCAAAGCAAUGGUUGUGUGCCUCCCCAUAAAAUAAUAUAUUGGAAAAGUUAAUGUGAUUUUUAAUGCAUGAACUUUUAUGAUUUCCUUAGACGAUGCUUAAUUUUAUUUGAAUAGAUUUCCCAGAUUAAAAAAUAAAUAAAAUAUGGAUUUCCCUCCAUUUGUGUCAACAUAUCUCUUGUCAUGUGAUAUGGCAUGGUGAUGUGUCAACAAUUGCUUAAGACACAUUAACUUUAAAACUCUAAAUUAAUUUUUAAAAUAGUGUAAAUGUACCAGAGUUAAUGAUACGUUUCAUUAUAUUAUGUUUUUUCAUUGAAAAGUGUGAAAAAAGAUGUUAAUGUUUAUAAAAUAACAUAUCAUAUGUAAAAGUCCUUUAAUUAGAAAAAAAAAAAAAAAACAUGAUAAAUGAGCCCACUUUCGAACGGAUCGAAGGUGCAGGAGAUCAAUUCCAACUUUUUUAAGUUGAGGGAUGGGUUUUAUAAUGAUUUAAAAGUUCAGAAAUGUUUUAUCUAUUUAGCUAAAUAUUAAUUUGCAAGGAAGAUUUGAAUCUAGCCACUCCAUCUUUGUUGUAAUCUGGACCUGUACUGUCUUGCCUUUUUAUUGGUAACGGUAAAAUUUCUAUCACUCAAAUUUCAUUAUGGAUUAUUUUUAAACAUGAAAAAUAAAUAAAUCUUCGUAUAUUUCUUUGCUAAUAGAACAUUGACACAUGGAAUGAGAUAUUCAAGAUAUUUUAUCAUAAAUAUAGGAUCUAAUCAAUUAAUAUCAAUCAAUAAAAUUAUGUUAUGUGAUAUUGUAAAGAAACCUGAGAGCCUUUAUGAAACUCUAUAAAUAGAGGGUCUCAACCUAGAAAGAGAGAAAGAAUUCUUAAAGAUACAUAAUUUUUUUUAAGACAAGCACUUCAAAUAAAGAAACUUUCUUAAAAGCUAUCAAGACUCAUUCAUCUACGCUUGAAACAAGGGUGGAACUAGGAGGAGGCAAGCAAGCGCCCGGGCCCUGCAAAACAUUUUAAAGUUUUAUAUUAUUUAGUAUUUAAAUAUGGAAUAGUAUAAUAUUUUUAUUUUAAAUAUACUAUACUAUUCAAUAUAUAAUAAUUUUAAUUUUCUUUUAAGACAAGCACUUCAAGUAAAGAAGUUUUCUUAAAAGCUAUCAAGACUCAUUCAUCUACGCUUGAAACAAGGGCGGAACUAGAGGGAGGUAAGCAGGGCCCCGGCCCUGCAAAACAUUUUAAAAUUUUAUAUUAUUUAGUAUUUAAAUAUGGAAUAGUAUAAUAUUUUUAUUUUAAAUAAAUAAAUUUUUUAAUAAUAUAUCUUGUUAUAUUAAUUUUGGCCUACCCUAUUAAAUUCUACCAGCAACGCCCGUAGUUUGAAAAUCUACAAAGAACAAAGUUCUAUUAAACCAAAACAUAGACGCCACAUAAAAGUUCUUCAACAACGCUUUAAAAAUAAAUCAAUAGUAGUUUUUAAAAUAUCAAAUCAUCAAAUCUCGUUUCGCAAUACACGUUUAAAUUUACGUUCUUACAAAACACAAAUCUUGAUUUAAUUUCACAAAUAAAUUAGGUCAUCAUAUUUCUACCUCUUUUAUUUCUCAUUGCCUCUCCUUUUUUAUUCUCAUCUUCUCUUCUCGUAGUCUUUUUGUGGUUUUCAAUUUAUUAGGUUUUGAAUUCAUAUAUGGUUAGAUUUUGUACAGCUUUACUUGUUUCACAGUUAGAUUUGUGUGGCCUGAUAUGAACAUUGCUGCAUUGCUUCAUCGCCUUUAAAAUAAUUCAAUCUUUUAUUUUUCUUCUUCAACUCUCUGCUCUUCAUCGCCUUUAAAAUAAUUAAAUAGAACUGUUGACCAUUAGUGGGAUAAUGAAAGGGGUCUCUCACCUCACAAUCUCUUGAGAUAUGACUUCAGAUCGGAGCAAAAACUUGGAUCUCCUGAAAAUUAAACCCAGCCAUACACACGCAAACCUUGAAGCAUUAAAAAGCUUCUUUGGCUGUAGAUUACCCGUUUGGUUACAUGUACGUCCAUGUUUCAUGCGGUUUCAUUUUGCAAGCUAUUAGGUUAAUUAAACAAAUAUUUGUUAUUAUUCAUGGGUCCCAUGGUCUGCUGCGUUUGAAACGCAAGAAAAAGGAAAGCAGCUAGGAGCUGCUUCCUGCGCGACAAAAUGUUGAACCGUGCUCCACUGUUCACGUGAACAAUUUUUUUUCUUCAAAAAACCAGUGUAGUUAAUUGAUUUCACUCGCACUGUUCACGUGAACGUGAACAACAAUUUUUUUUUGUUUUUUAAAAAAAUUAGUUUAAAGUGAAUUAAAUUUACUCGUACUGUAAUCUCAAUUUUAUUCCUGAUAAUAUUUUACCUAAUUUUGUAGUUCUUGUCGGAUGAAUUUUGUACAUAAAGGAAUUGUAGAUAGUUUAAUAGAACAAUAAAAAAAUUUUAUAUAAAGUAUGAUUUAUUUCAUGAUGUAAUAGCAAUAGUUAAAUCCACAAUAUUUAAAUUAAAAACUAUCAAUAUUAAUAUAUAUUUUUUUAAAUUAUUUUAUAACCUCAAUUUCAAAAGCAUUCUUAACCAAACACAUUAAACUACUUUUUCUUCAAUCUCAAUUUCAACCACAGUUUUAACUAAACACCUAUUUUUUCAAACCAACCUCAACUAAAAGUACUUUUUAUAAAACAACUUUUUUCAAACCACAACCACAACAGCUACCGCAAUACCAAACACAAAAGCCCCUUAACAAAGAAAAUUGCAGUGUUAUCACGGUCUAUCAAAGCUUCACUUUCAUUAUAUAUUUUGAUUUGUUUUUUUAGAGUGUUGUUAAUUACAAUCUCAUUAUCUGAAUUAUGAAUUUGACAAGUUAAUCCAGAUUGAUCCAGUAUAUAACUAUUUCAAUAUUUAAAAAAAUCAUUUAAUAUGUUACCGAAUUAAUAUUUUAAAAAAACACACCAUUCAAUAAACAUUAUCUUUUAAGUUUAUAAUUAAUUUUUCUUAUUGAGAAACAUGUCAAUAACGCUUCAACAUUUGUUUUUAAAUAAUAAUAAUAAUUGUGGUGGUGGUGGUAAUAAUAAUAAUAAUAAUAAUAAUGACAAUGAUGAAACUAGUGGUAAUGAUACUAGCAGUACUAACAACAACAAUAAUAAUGGUAAUGAAAUUGAUAAUAAAAAACAACUAAAAAGAUAAGGGGUUUCUUUAUAGCUAUAGAAACAAUCAACUAUUCACUAAAAUUGUCAAGCGAGGUUUAUGACAUUCAAAUAAAACAAAAAAGACUUAACUUGGAGGCAUAUGUGUUUUUGUAUUUUUACAUAGUUUAUUAGUCAUUAUAAAUUUGACUAGGGGUAUUUUUACCUAUUCAAUAUUUUUAAUAACAAUAAAAUAAUAAAAAUACUUCCAAUGAUAAAAGAAUCAACACGGCAGGGCAAUAGUAUUUCAAUAUUUUUAUUUUUUUUAUAAAUAGUCAAAUUACACGUGCGGUCUUAAAUCCAAGAGAUAUUAGUAAUUGAGAUUAGGAGUAUUAGGAUCUUUUAGCCUAAUUUUUUUUUGCUUGUUAAUUGUAUGAUUGAUUGAAGGUAAAAACAUAAUUUAACAUUUAAAUAAUAUUUUUAAUUUAAAAGAAAUACUGGCAUGUUGGGGCACUACUCACUUUGGGUGGUGGCUCUCUGUUACGAUCCUAGUCUACUGUUGGGGAAGUCUGGUGGAAAAUAUUAUUUACUUACUAGUAUUUUGUUAUCAUUUACUUGGUCUUUUGUUUGAAAUAGUCAAUAAUGUUGCUGUUGCUAAUUCCUUAGAAGCAGGAGUCAAAAUAACUAGUUUGUUAAGUAACAAACUAUGAGUACAAGUAGGAGUAAACUGAGGAAGCAACUCCUCUAAUUUUCUGUAUUUAAAUCCUUGUUUUAAAUGAAAUGAUAUCAAAUUCAAUCAUUCAAGAAAAAACCACUGUCUUUUGGAGGCCAAGUUACCCUCGAAGUAGCUUAUAUUCUCUUAUCUCUAUUUAGUUGCCGGCUUAAGCUAAGGUUUAUAACAGUGGUAUUAGAGCUAAGCUUCUUCUGCCAUCUUCAUCAACAACCUUAAAACCCAAGACCCCUCCCCUUCUUAUAUAUAUGGCUAACCAAGACGCCCUGGGAACUCGUUUUAAUGUCUUAUCCGAAACAGUUUCCAAGCAAGGUUCAAUGUUGCAACAAAUCAACACCUAUAUAACUGAUAUUCAACAAUAAAUUACAGCCCUUACCUUAUCCAUUGAAAAGCUCACCAAAGAACCAAAAUCUAUGAGAGAAGAACACAUUGUUGGACCUUCAAUAAGGCAUUCACUGGCUUCUAAUUCUAGCGGGUUACCGACAAAGGGGCUAAAGAUUGAUCUCUUCAAAUAUGAUGGCACUGAAGACCCCUCUGGCUGGACUUUACUAGCUGAUCAAUACUUCCUGUUACAUCAGAUCCCUCCAGCCCAACGUCUCAUUUAUGCUUCGUUCCACUUGAAGGGAGCAGCACUCCAAUAUUACAAAUAUUUACAACAUGCAGGUGAGCUUAAUGAUUGGGUGUUGUUUAUCCAAGCUCUUGAAAAGCAGUUUGGACCUACAAAAUAUGAGGAUCCAGAGGGAGAACUGUCAAAACUUCGUCAAACUUCCACAGUUGCAGCUUACCAAAGUCAGUUUGAGAAUUUGGCUCAACGAAUCGAUGGUCUUCCUGACAGAUUUCUCACACGCACUUUCAUUCAUGGUCUCAAAGAUGACAUCAAGACAAAUGUUAAGUCAUUCCGCCCCACUUCUUUAAAAGAUGCAAUAGGUCUCACUCGUCUCCAGGAGAAGAGUUCCUCAAGAGAUCGUAGAAGUUUUCCAAGACCCCAAGCACCCACCCAGACAGUUCCAGACCCAAAGGUGAAAAAGAUAUAUUUUGAAGAGAUGAAGGAGCGCCGGGAAAAAGGAUUGUGCUACAAUUAUGACGAGAAAUUCAGACCUGGCCACAAAUCUAAAUCUCUUACUCUCUUCCUUAUUGAUGGAAACAAUUAUUUUGAUGAAGAUAUGGACUGCUCUCUUGAUAGCGAUGUUAUUCCACAUCUAGAGAUAUCUGUUCAUGCCAUUGCAGGUGCCAUGAACCCCCAUACUAUGCGUGUCCCUGGUUAUUAUCACAAUAAGCCUCUUUACAUACUACUGGACUCUGGCUCUACUCAUAACUUCUUGGAUCCUUCAGUUGCAUCAAAGCUCAAUCUUCCUAUUUCUUGUAAGACCUCCUUUGAUGUCAUGGUGGCUAAUUGAGAUCGCUUAUAUAAUGAGGGACAAUGUCAAAGUAUAUUUAUUGACAUUCGAGUUCCAGUUACCUCAGAUUUUUACCUCAUUUCUCUCGGGGGAUAUGAUGUUGUUUUGGGUGCAUAUUGGCUCCAGACCCUCGGUCCCAUUUUAUAGGAUUUCUCCAAACUGACCAUGGAAUUUUGUUACCAAGGGAAAACAUAUAGGGUGGUUUUUAUACCUACAAAGAAGUUGUAUGUCCUCUCAUGUCACAAAUUGGAGAAACUUUUUCAGGUCCGACCGCCAAUUCUGAUUCUAGAUGUUUCACAGAUUUAUGCCAUCGACAACGUUUAUGAAGUUCCACCCACCAUCUAGGCAGUCAUUGAUGGUUUUUCUGAUAUGUUUUGUCCACCAUCAGGUUUGCCUCCUACUCGGUAUUAUGAUCAUCGCAUUAUACUUCCUCCAGGCACAUCACCUACUAAUGUUCGACCCUACCGGUACUCGAUGCUUCAGAAGGCUGAAAUUGAACGCAUGGUCAAAGAGAUGCUCCAUGAGGGAAUAAUUCAUCCAAGUCAUAACCCAUUCUCAUCUCCUGUCUUGUUAGUUCGCAAACAUGAUGGCACUUGGCGAUUAUGUGUUGAUUACCGUGCUUUGAACGCUGUCACAGUCAAGGAUCAGUUUCCUAUACCUGUGUUUGAUGAGCUUCUUGAUGAGCUUCAUGGGGCAACCAUCUUCUCCAAAUUAGACCUGAGAUCAGGUUUCCACCAAAUCAGGAUAGCCGACGAAGACAUUCCUAAAACUGCAUUUAGGACCCAUGACGGCCAUUACGAGUUCCUUGUUAUGCCUUUCGGCCUCACAAACGCACCAUUAACUUUUCAAAGCCUCAUGAAUGAAAUCUUUCAUCCAUUUUUAAGACAAUUCAUUCUAGUCUUCUUCGACGAUAUCCUGGUUUACAGCCAUUCAGAGGAAGAGCAUGUCAUUCAUCUUCAAAAAACUUUGGAGAUCCUUCGUCUUCAUAAACUGCAUGCUAAGUUGUCUAAAUGCCAUUUUGGGUGCUCUGAAAUUGAUUAUUUGAGACAUGUGAUUUUCGCUAACAGUGUUGUUGUUGAUCAGAAGAAGAUUGAAUCCAUCCUUCAAUGGCCUUUUCCAUCUUCGCUGAAAUCCUUGCGUGGAUUCCUUGGCCUCACUGGAUAUUACAGAAAGUUUGUGCAUGGUUAUGGGCAGAUUGCAAGACCUCUUACAGACAUGCUCAAAAAGGGGGCUUUUCGAUGGACUCCUACAUCUGAAUCAGCUUUCAAAGAACUUAAAAUGGCUAUGACUCGCCCACCAGUUCUAGCACUUCUUGAUUUCUCAAAAAAAGUUUGUGAUCGAGUGUGAUGCAUCGAGAAGUGGCAUUGGUGCAGUCCUCAUGCAAUCAGGACGUCCCUUGGCCUAUUUCAACCAAGCCUUGCAUGGUAAAAAUCUCCAACUCUCUACUUAUGAAAAAGAGCUGCUUGCACUCACCCUUGUUGUUCAGCGAUGGUGUCCUUAUUUGCUUAGCCGCAGUUUUAUAGUUCAAAUUGAUCAUCAUAGUCUGAAAUAUUUGCUUGAGCAAAGGAUGGGAACUCCUUCUCAACAACUCGUCUUAAAACGAAAAAGAAAAAAUCAAAGCCCAUAUAAUUUGCUAAAAUGAAUAUUAUAAAAAAGUUGCUAAAACGAAAUAAUAAAUUAUUAAUAUCGAAGAAAAUAAACAAGUUCUAAUAAAUCGAUAUAUACAUAACCCUCAUCUCAACAAAAAUAAAACCACAACACAAGACAACCCAAAUAUAAUAAUAAAUAAACCUUUAUUUCACCGUAUAAACAAAUAAAUAAAUAAUAGUACUAAAAAAAUCCCUCAAAAAAAGACUCUCAAAAGAGUAACAUGUAUAAAUCCCAUCCCAGUAAACAUAAAAAUAACCAAGAGAAUCUCAGAUCACAAAAACCACCUAGUGCCUCAAAAGAGAAAGCAUAGACAAGAAGAGAGAAGAGCAGAUAAGAGCCCCAGACAUCCCAAGAGAAAAGGAAGCAGCUCCCUUGUCCUUUCCAGGAGCUGGCGCUGGCGCUAACUCUCCAAGAUCUUGGGCGGAAACAGCAACACUGGCAAGCAUUGCCAUGACAACAGCAGCAGCAAACAACUUCAUUGCAGCAAAUGCCAUUGUACAAAAUCGGGUGUCAGGACACGAAAACAAACCCUUUCAAGAGAUAUACUGAGAGCGUAACCAAAUCUUGAAUAUUGUUCAGUGUUCUUGAUCCAGGGUGGUGAUGAGAAAGACGAAGUGGCAAGGGGUGUUUAUAUAGUGAGGGUUGGUGUAGGUUUUCACAAAGAAAACAUGUGGGGUCAUAGAUAACGUGGACAGCUGGAGAGACACGUUGAGGCAGAGAAACACAGAGGCCAGCAAUAAAACGGCUGGUGCUUAAAAAAAAUUUGAUUUUUAUUAACGUUAGCGGACACUUGGAGUCCUCAUUUUAUUUCCCUAUCUUGGUAAACCGUUACCUAACACUAGUUCCCAUGUCAAACACUCAACGUCAUUUGUGUUAACAUGGAAAGUUUACACAAAAAAUUGACUUCAAAUUAAUGGGAUUAAUUUAAGGAGAUCAAAGUUGAAAAACUAAUUUUUAAAUGAUCAUUUACCUGUUUUUUUAAAGACUACGUACUAUAUCUUUGUAGCACUAUUGUCGACCCGGCAAUAUUGAAAGGUAACAUGGUGAUUAAAAACUUCAAAUUAGUGUUUUUGUUCAACAUUCAAUGCAUAUAAAAAAAAAAGAGAACGAAAGCAGUUGAACUAGUCUGUUUGGGAGUAUAAUUAUGUUUGGAAAUAUAGUUAUGGUUAUUUUUUAAAAUAUUUUUCAUUUAAAAAUAUAUCUAAAUAAUUUUAUUUUUUUUUAUAAAUUAUUUUUGACACCAGAACAUCAAAACGAUAUAAAAACAUAAAAAAUAUAUUAAUUCAAAAAAAAAUUAAUUUUUUUAAAAAUAUUUUUAAAAUACAAAAAUAAACAGAAUCUCUUCAACAGACAUGAUGUGUUUUAUUAAUUUUGAAUUAUGGGAUAGUGACCUAAUUAAUUUAACAAUUCAACAUCUUAAUUAAUAUUCUUAAUUAUAAGAGUUUCUUCAUCCGGCCAUGUUUGACGUCCUUUAUUCUAAACUCAUCCAAGCGCUGGUUGUACGUACAAUGAAAUCAACACCAAACAUAUAAAAUAUCAAGAGAGAAGUAGUUCUUUCUCACAUCAACUAAUUAGAGGAGGAAAGUAUUUUUUUGUUUUAGAGAGAGAAAAGAUGGAAAUAAAUUAAUUUUAUUCAAUGUGUGGGAUUGAAAAGAUCAUGAUUAAAUUGACGCUAAGGGUUUAAGUAAUUAUGAUAAAGGAAAAUAAAUUAAUGUGUGGGAUUGAAAAGAUCAAGAUUAAUACGAUCUAUAUUUGUUAAAACAGGACUUACUGAUAAUUUGUCCAAAGAAUAAGGUCAUGUCUGCAAAUAACAGGGUUGCUCUCUUUGUUGAAAUCUAAUAGUUAUCCGCUGUACUGAGUAAAAGCAAUGUGUUGCCGAUGUCAAAUCACACGUUUUAUUCGUACAGUGUUUAUGAGGUAGAGAAUUCAAAUCUUCAUUGUGUUGCUGAUGUCGAUAACAAAUCGGUAUCUGACAUUACAUGCGUUUUAUUCGUACAGUGUUUAUGAGGUAGAGAAUUCAAAUCUUCAUUGUGUUGCCGAUGUCGAUAACAAAUCGGUAUCUGACAUCUGUUUUCGAAAGCCGCUCCAUGGCUGUGUUCACAUAAUCCAUCGAGAUAACCUCAAUAUCUGCCGUGAUGUUGUUCUUGGCAGCAAAA